rnacentral:tmRNA from 1 species
GGGGACGAAAGGAUUUCGACGGGGAUUUUGAACCUUGGCAAGCGAGCAGCGGCGCGGACCCGCUAUAUCAAGCCGUAGUUUAGAAAUAAACGACACAGAUUACGAACUUCUUGCUGCUUAACCUUAACCGGUAGCAGCCGUCUUGCCCGGGAGGCCUGCGGCCAGGAACAAGGCGUCACUUAGCAGGGCACGUGCACGGCCGGGACGCCUUGCCCGCCGUCAUGAAAACACACGGCUACCGUAGCGCAUCGCCUGCCCACCGGCGGCGCGUGAGGGGAACCUUAUUGAUGGGCUACGCUCGUAGAAACCCUUGAGGAUGGAUUUUCGGACGCGGUUUCGAUUACCGCCGUCUCCACCA